UUUCCGUAGGUGAACCUGCGGAAGGAUCAUUAUUGUAUAACCGAGGUGCGAGGGCUGUCGCUGACCCGAAAGGUCGUGCACGCCCGAGUGCCCUCACACACAUCCACCUCACCCCUAUGUGCACCACCGCGUGGGUCCCCCUUUGGCUUGUUCGGAGGGGGGCUUACGUUUUCACACAAACUUUGUAUGCAGUGUAGAAUGUAUUUUUUGUUUUUGCGAUCACGCAAUCAAUACAACUUUCAACAACGGAUCUCUUGGCUCUC
rnacentral:misc_RNA from 1 species